CAAUCAGGGGGAUGAUGUAUUAUUAUAGGGCCCUUGAGAUGCUUGCCUUUCUUGAUUCAGCGUCUGAGGUUGAAAUAGG